rnacentral:rRNA from 1 species
UCGAGCGGACAGAUGGGAGCUUGCUCCCUGAUGUUAGCGGCGGACGGGUGAGUAACACGUGGGUAACCUGCCUGUAAGACUGGGAUAACUCCGGGAAACCGGGGCUAAUACCGGAUGCUUGUUUGAACCGCAUGGUUCAAACAUAAAAGGUGGCUUCGGCUACCACUUACAGAUGGACCCGCGGCGCAUUAGCUAGUUGGUGAGGUAAUGGCUCACCAAGGCGACGAUGCGUAGCCGACCUGAGAGGGUGAUCGGCCACACUGGGACUGAGACACGGCCCAGACUCCUACGGGAGGCAGCAGUAGGGAAUCUUCCGCAAUGGACGAAAGUCUGACGGAGCAACGCCGCGUGAGUGAUGAAGGUUUUCGGAUCGUAAAGCUCUGUUGUUAGGGAAGAACAAGUACCGUUCGAAUAGGGCGGUACCUUGACGGUACCUAACCAGAAAGCCACGGCUAACUACGUGCCAGCAGCCGCGGUAAUACGUAGGUGGCAAGCGUUGUCCGGAAUUAUUGGGCGUAAAGGGCUCGCAGGCGGUUUCUUAAGUCUGAUGUGAAAGCCCCCGGCUCAACCGGGGAGGGUCAUUGGAAACUGGGGAACUUGAGUGCAGAAGAGGAGAGUGGAAUUCCACGUGUAGCGGUGAAAUGCGUAGAGAUGUGGAGGAACACCAGUGGCGAAGGCGACUCUCUGGUCUGUAACUGACGCUGAGGAGCGAAAGCGUGGGGAGCGAACAGGAUUAGAUACCCUGGUAGUCCACGCCGUAAACGAUGAGU